AUGCAUUUGUACAAAGUCCCUCUCCAACUCUCUUGUAGGUCCUUUUAGGUUCUGGAAGGUGCUGUCUGGUCUCCCCAGAGCCUUCUCU